GACGAACGCUGGCGGCGUGCUUAACACAUGCAAGUCGAACGAUGAAGCCGGAGCUUGCUCCGGUGGAUUAGUGGCGAACGGGUGAGUAACACGUGAGCAAUCUGCCCUUGACUCUGGGAUAACUGCGGGAAACUGUAGCUAAUACCGGAUACGACACCUUGGGGCAUCCCAGGGUGUGGAAAGAAUUUCGGUCAAGGAUGAGCUCGCGGCCUAUCAGCUAGUUGGUGAGGUAAUGGCUCACCAAGGCGACGACGGGUAGCCGGCCUGAGAGGGUAACCGGCCACACUGGAACUGGGACACGGUCCAGACCCCUACGGGAGGCAGCAGUGGGGCAUAUUGCACAAGGGGCGAAAGCCUGAUGCAGCAACGCCGCGUGAGAGAUGAAGGCCUUCGGGUUGUAAACCUCUUUUAGUAGGGAAGAAGCGAAAGUGACGGUACCUGCAGAAAAAGCACCGGCUAACUACGUGCCAGCAGCCGCAGUAA
rnacentral:rRNA from 1 species